CUAGUACUCCCUUCGUUCGAAAAUACUUGUCAUCAAAAUAGAUAAAAAAGGAUGUAUCUAGAACUAAUAUACAUCUACAUACAUCACCUUUUAUUCAUUUUGAUGACAAGUAUUCCGGACGGAGGGAGUAGGUC
rfam:Triticum urartu cultivar G1812 contig968357, whole genome shotgun sequence.